rnacentral:rRNA from 1 species
CGCGUAGGCGGUCUUUUAAGUCAGGUGUGAAAGCCCGGGGCUCAACCCCGGAAGUGCACUUGAAACUAAGGGACUUGAGUAUGGGAGAGGGAAGUGGAAUUCCUGGUGUAGCGGUGAAAUGCGUAGAUAUCAGGAGGAACACCGGUGGCGAAGGCGACUUCCUGGACCAAUACUGACGCUGAGGCGCGAAGGCGUGGGGAGCAAACA